rnacentral:rRNA from 1 species
GACGAACGCUGGCGGCGUGCUUAACACAUGCAAGUCGAACGGAAAGGCCCUGCUUUUGUGGGGUGCUCGAGUGGCGAACGGGUGAGUAACACGUGAGUAACCUGCCCUUGACUUUGGGAUAACUUCAGGAAACUGGGGCUAAUACCGGAUAGGAGCUCCUGCCGCAUGGUGGGGGUUGGAAAGUUUCGGCGGUUGGGGAUGGACUCGCGGCUUAUCAGCUUGUUGGUGGGGUAGUGGCUUACCAAGGCUUUGAAGGGUAGCCGGCCUGAGAGGGUGACCGGCCACAUUGGGACUGAGAUACGGCCCAGACUCCUACGGGAGGCAGCAGUGGGGAAUAUUGCACAAUGGGCGGAAGCCUGAUGCAGCAACGCCGCGUGCGGGAUGACGGCCUUCGGGUUGUAAACCGCUUUCGCCUGUGACGAAGCGUGAGUGACGGUAAUGGGUAAAGAAGCACCGGCUAACUACGUGCCAGCAGCCGCGGUGAUACGUAGGGUGCGAGCGUUGUCCGGAUUUAUUGGGCGUAAAGGGCUCGUAGGUGGUUGAUCGCGUCGGAAGUGUAAUCUUGGGGCUUAACCCUGAGCGUGCUUUCGAUACGGGUUGACUUGAGGAAGGUAGGGGAGAAUGGGAUUCCUGGUGGAGCGGUGGAAUGCGCAGAUAUCAGGAGGAACACCAGUGGCGAAGGCGGUUCUCUGGGCCUUUCCUGACGCUGAGGAGCGAAAGCGUGGGGAGCGAACAGGCUUAGAUACCCUGGUAGUCCACGCUGUAAACGGUGGGUACUAGGUGUGGGGUCCAUUCCACGGGUUCCGUGCCGUAGCUAACGCUUUAAGUACCCCGCCUGGGGAGUACGGCCGCAAGGCUAAAACUCAAAGGAAUUGACGGGGCCCCGCACAAGCGGCGGAGCAUGCGGAUUAAUUCGAUGCAACGCGUAGAACCUUACCUGGGUUUGACAUGGAUCGGGAGUGCUCAGAGAUGGGUGUGCCUCUUUUGGGGUCGGUUCACAGGUGGUGCAUGGCUGUCGUCAGCUCGUGUCGUGAGAUGUUGGGUUAAGUCCCGCAACGAGCGCAACCCUUGUUCACUGUUGCCAGCACGUUAUGGUGGGGACUCAGUGGAGACCGCCGGGGUCAACUCGGAGGAAGGUGGGGAUGACGUCAAGUCAUCAUGCCCCUUAUGUCCAGGGCUUCACGCAUGCUACAAUGGCUGGUACAGAGAGUGGCGAGCCUGUGAGGGUGAGCGAAUCUCGGAAAGCCGGUCUCAGUUCGGAUUGGGGUCUGCAACUCGACCUCAUGAAGUCGGAGUCGCUAGUAAUCGCAGAUCAGCAACGCUGCGGUGAAUACGUUCCCGGG